UCCAAACAAAGGCUACCAUGAAAAUUUACUUUACACAGAUCUAUCAUGGCCUGUUAUUGAGGAGAACACUUUAUUUAAGUGCUAGUUUAUUCUUGUUUUUGCACUUGCUUUACUGAAAAAAUUGUUUAUAUGUAUAUUAAUUUCUUCAUCCUCAACAUUCCAAGUUAAACCGUUCUUAUAGUAAUUAUAAAAUUUGCCUUUAUAGUUGGAAAUGCCGGAAGCCUGGCCACCUUGCUGAGGAUUGUUUAGUGACAUUUCAUUCACCACACCUUUCCAUGAAUCAAUCAUGUGAUCCGGUACCCAAGAGAGACCAUAAAUCUGGUUUUAUAUCUGAAGAUAUUCUUGCUCUCUACAAAAGUGAAAUACACUGGCAAACUUGAAGAUGGAACAGUUUUUGAGAGGAAAGGAACUGAUGAAGAGCCUCUAGAGUUCAUGUGUUUUGUAGCCACCAACUGCCUGCAUGACAUCAACCUCCUUUAGCCUGGCUUGAGAACAUCUAGUGCAAUUGCUACCAGGCAGGGUUCACUGCACCAAAAGUUUGAGCAGUAACAGUAACAGUAGCAGUAACAACUCCACCAGAGAUUUCCGAAUUCUGGAGCCAUGCGAAAGUAAUCUUGCUUAUCAGCCCAAUAUGCUGAAGAAGAAAGCAUGGUCAAGUCGUGAAAAGUAUAUCUCAGAGGCUAUUCAAGGGGUUGGAAGAAAAGGUACGGCAGCAGUGCCAAGGAAUCCUCUGUAUCCAAGUAUUGGUGGUAGGGGUGCCGCUUCUGGUAAUAUUGAUCAGAGAGCAAAAGGACAUCUAGACGGAAUGCAGAGCUCUGGGAGGGCCACUGUCUGAUGAAACUCGAGAAGCUCUUCCUAAGGCACUUCUGGAACUUUUUCAUGUUCAUAAAGUUUGCAGGUGAUGCUUAUACUUCUUUCUAUUUUCACUUAUUUGAUCUCCUUCAGCAGCUAGAGCAUAUUUUCAGUUUCGGUACUUACAAGCUGAUAAGCAGUCAAUCAACCUUUCAUUCCUAUGGAUUUUAUUUGUGCAUCUGUUUGUGUUCCAUAUUUUACAUAUUAUAUGGGAACCUAUUUGUAAACCACCAACUCAUUUAAAGAAAAGACAGGUAAACCUUGUCUCAACUUUUGACAAUUAAUUGGAAUGGAAUGGAACAGGUCUGUUUAUCUUUUAGCAGCACUGGCAGAAGCUGGAUUCCUCAUUGGAUUGGAAUGGAAUAGGUCUGUAUAUACAUUUUUUCCAUCAUGAAGGGCUUGUCUUGUGUAAGAUUUUUAGUUAUCAAUAGAAAAAGGAAAAUCUUUUAGUUCUGUAUUGCAUUAUUCUUCUGAUAUUGA